rnacentral:rRNA from 1 species
GGAGUUAGCCGGUGCUUCUUCUGCGAGUAACGUCACAGAUGUAAGGUAUUAACUUACACCCUUUCCUCCUCGCUGAAAGUGCUUUACAACCCGAAGGCCUUCUUCACACACGCGGCAUGGCUGCAUCAGGGUUUCCCCCAUUGUGCAAUAUUCCCCACUGCUGCCUCCCGUAGGAGUCUGGGCCGUGUCUCAGUCCCAGUGUGGCUGAUCAUCCUCUCAGACCAGCUAGGGAUCGUCGCCUAGGUGAGCCUUUACCUCACCUACUAGCUAAUCCCACCUGGGCUUAUCCAUCAGCGCAAGGCCCGAAGGUCCCCUGCUUUCCCCAGUAGGGCGUAUGCGGUAUUAGCAGUCGUUUCCAACUGUUAUCCCCCACAAAUGGGCAAAUUCCCAGGCAUUACUCACCCGUCCGCCGCUCGUCAUCUUCAAAAGCAAGCUUUUGAAAUGUUACCGCUCGACUUGCAUGUGUUAGGCCUGCCGCCAGCGUUCAAUCUGAACCAAGAUCAAAUUCUGA